UGGGGAAUCUUGGACAAUGGGGGGCAACCCUGAUCCAGCCAUGCCGCGUGAGUGAUGAAGGCCUUAGGGUCGUAAAGCUCUUUCAACGGUGAAGAUAAUGACGGUAACCGUAGAAGAAGCCCCGGCUAACUCCGUGCCAGCAGCCGCGGUAAUACGGAGGGGGGUUAGCGUUGUUCGGAAUUACUGGGCGUAAAGCGCACGUAGGCGGAUCGGAAAGUUGGGGGAUGAAAUCCCGGGGGCUCAACCCCGGAACUGCCUCCAAAACUAUCGGUCUAGAGUUCGAGAGAGGUGAGUGGAAUUCCAAGUGUAGAGGUGAAAUUCGUAGAUAUUUGGAGGAACACCAGUGGCGAAGGCGGCUCACUGGCUCGAUACUGACGCUGAGGUGCGAAAGUGUGGGGAGCAAACAGGAUUAGAUACCCUGGUAGUCCACGCCGUAAACGAUGAGUGCUAGUCGUCGGCAGGCAUGCCUGUCGGUGACGCAGCUAACGCAUUAAGC
rnacentral:rRNA from 1 species